rnacentral:rRNA from 1 species
AUUGAACGCUGGCGGCAUGCUUUACACAUGCAAGUCGAACGGCAGCACGGACUUCGGUCUGGUGGCGAGUGGCGAACGGGUGAGUAAUACAUCGGAACGUACCCAGUAAUGGGGGAUAACUAUCCGAAAGGAUAGCUAAUACCGCAUACGCCCUACGGGGGAAAGAGGGGGAUCGCAAGACCUCUUGUUAUUGGAGCGGCCGAUGGCUGAUUAGCUAGGUGGUAGGGUAAAGGCCUACCAAGGCAACGAUCAGUAGCGGGUCUUAGAGGACGAUCCGCCACACUGGAACUGAGACACGGUCCAGACUCCGACGGGAGGCAGCAGUGGGGAAUCUUGGACAAUGGGCGCAAGCCUGAUCCAGCAAUGCCGCGUGCGUGAAGAAGGCCUUCGGGUUGUAAAGCGCUUUUGUCAGGGAGCAAAUCCUUGUGGCUAAUACCCACCGGGGAUGAGAGUACCUGAAGAAUAAGGACCGGCUAACUACGUGCCAGCAGCCGCAGUAACAC